GAUGAAGAACGUAGCGAAAUGCGAUACUUGGUGUGAAUUGCAGAAUCCCGUGAACCAUCGAGUCUUUGAACGCAAGUUGCGCCUCAAGCCAUUAGGUUGAGGGCACGUCUGCCUGGGCGUCACAUAUCGUUGCCUGAUGCCAGUUUCCUCGUGAUGGGUGACUGUGCAGGGCGAAUGAUGGCUUCCCGUGAGCAUUGUUGCCUCAUGGUUGGUUGAAAAUUGAGUCCUUGGUAGGGAGCGCCGUGAUAGAUGGUGGUUGAGUGACGAACGAGACCCAAUCAUGUGAGACCCCUACCGAAUUUGGCCUUCAUGACCCACAUGUGUCUUUGGAACGCUCAUGACGAGACCUCAGGUCAGGCGGGGCUACCCGCUGAGUUUAAGCAUAUCAAUAAGCGGAGGA
rnacentral:misc_RNA from 1 species